rnacentral:misc_RNA from 1 species
UGCGGUCGGCUCCUCUCAAAUGAAUCAGCUUGCCAGUGUUUGGUGGCGUCACAGGUGUGAUAACUAUCUACGCUUGUGGUUUCCCACCAGGUAACCUUCAGUGAUGAAGGUUCGCUGGAGCUCAUAAACGUCUCUCCUCAGCGAGGACAGCUUCUUGAAUGUUUGAUCUCAAAUCAGGUAGGGCUACCCGCUGAACUUAA